GACGUAGGGCGCGAGCGUUGUCCGGAAUUAUUGGGCGUAAAGAGCUCGUAGGCGGCUUGUCGCGUCGACUGUGAAAACCCGCGGCUCAACUGCGGGCCUGCAGUCGAUACGGGCAGGCUAGAGUUCGGUAGGGGAGACUGGAAUUCCUGGUGUAGCGGUGAAAUGCGCAGAUAUCAGGAGGAACACCGAUGGCGAAGGCAGGUCUCUGGGCAUUAACUGACGCUGAGGAGCGAAAGCAUGGGGAGCGAACAGG
rnacentral:rRNA from 1 species